rnacentral:ncRNA from 13 species
UGGUUUAUCCUUCGACCUGGUGACACGGUGAACGGGAAGUCCGGUGCGAAUCCGGCGCGGUACUCGCCACUGUGAGCAGGUACGUCGACCACACGGGGCACUGCCCCAGCCACUGGACGUGAAGUGUCCGGGAAGGCGUGGCCGGCGGUCAGCCCUGCCGAGCCAGGAGACCGGCCGUGACACCUGCCUGCACG